rnacentral:tRNA from 1 species
CUCGCCAUAGUUCAACGGAUAGAACAAGCCCCUCCUAAGGGCUAGAUGCAGGUUCGAUUCCUGCUGGCGAGGCCA